rnacentral:rRNA from 1 species
CGGGGUGAGUAACGCGUGGGCAACCUGCCCUGUACCGGGGGACAACAGCCAGAAAUGGCUGCUAAUACCGCAUAAGCCUGCGGUGCCGCAUGGCACAGCAGGGAAAACCACGGUGGUACAGGAUGGGCCCGCGUCUGAUUAGUUAGUUGGCAGGGUAACGGCCUACCAAGACGAUGAUCAGUAGCCGGCUUGAGAGAGUGGACGGCCACAUUGGGACUGAGACACGGCCCAGACUCCUACGGGAGGCAGCAG